rnacentral:misc_RNA from 1 species
UCCUUCUUGAAACAGGAAUUAAGGAAAUACCGAAAUUUGUUGCUGCUUCUGCUUAUCCUAUUCUCCUAUUUCUGGCUUGUGGGUAGAAACAGAUGUUGGAAUUAGGCUUCAUUUGAAUCGUAUAAUAGCAUGAAUAGGAUAGAAAUGGAAAAGUUUUUUCAUGUUGAAUAGUUAUUCUUAACUUCUAUUCAAAUUUAAUAAGGGGAG